AGAGUUGAUCAUGGCUCAGGAUGAACGCUAGCGGCAGGCCUAACACAUGCAAGUCGCGGGGCAGCACGGUAGCAAUACCUGGUGGCGACCGGCGCACGGGUGCGUAACGCGUAUGCAACCUGCCCCCAUCAGGGAAUAGCCCGCCGAAAGGCGGAUUAAUGCCCCAUAGGCCCAGGGCGCCGCAUGGCGCUAUGGGUAAAGCUCCGGCGGAUGGGGAUGGGCAUGCGUGCCAUUAGCUAGUUGGGGCGGUAACGGCGCACCAAGGCGACGAUGGCUAGGGGGUCUGAGAGGAUGGUCCCCCACACUGGUACUGAGACACGGACCAGACUCCUACGGGAGGCAGCAGUGAGGAAUAUUGGUCAAUGGGCGGAAGCCUGAACCAGCCAAUGCCGCGUGCAGGAUGACGGCCCUACGGGUUGUAAACUGCUUUUCCCCGGGAAGAAUAAGCCCCUCGUGAGGGGUGAUGCCGGUACCGGGGGAAUAAGGAUCGGCUAACUCCGUGCCAGCCGCCGC
rnacentral:rRNA from 1 species